rnacentral:rRNA from 1 species
CGUACACUCCUACGGGAGGCAGCAGUGGGGAAUAUUACACAAUGGGCGCAAGCCUGAUGCAGCCAUGCCGCGUGUAUGAAGAAGGCCUUCGGGUUGUAAAGUACUUUCAGCGGGGAGGAAGGCAAUACGGUUAAUAACCGUGUUGAUUGACGUUACCCGCAGAAGAAGCACCGGCUAACUCCGUGCCAGCAGCCGCGGUAAUACGGAGGGUGCAAGCGUUAAUCGGAAUUACUGGGCGUAAAGCGCACGCAGGCGGUCUGUCAAGUCGGAUGUGAAAUCCCCGGGCUCAACCUGGGAACUGCAUUCGAAACUGGCAGGCUUGAGUCUUGUAGAGGGGGGUAGAAUUCCAGGUGUAGCGGUGAAAUGCGUAGAGAUCUGGAGGAAUACCGGUGGCGAAGGCGGCCCCCUGGACAAAGACUGACGCUCAGGUGCGAAAGCGUGGGGAGCAAACAGGAUUAGAUACCCGAGUAGUCCCAUGA